AAUAAUCUAGAACGACAUUUAAUGCGCCGAACCAGUGCCCAAUCAGAAUUUGCUGAAAUCUAUCAUCCCAUCUUUCCAUCAUUGCACUGCCUAGUUGACGAUUUCAAUCUUCAGAAAGCUCUUCCUUCCAAAAACAUUUCAUUUUCCUUUUUGUUUUGAAGCUUUCUCUCUUUCUUUCUUCAUCUCCGAAAACUUUCCUAGUCUGGUUCACACACCCAAUCGAACCUUUUUUGUUUUUCAGCGUACUCUGGGACCUCCAUUUCUAGGUAUAUUUCCUCUAUUCUUUUUAGAGUUUCUGUUGCAAGAAGAUGUGCAAGAGUAUUUGUAGAUCUCGGUGUAUGUUUGAAUCUGAUAUUCUUGGAACUAUUUAUCUUCUGUUGGAUGUCAUAUAUAUAUGCCACUACCAAUGAUCGAUCUUGACCCUUUGUGUUGCAUUUCUUUAUUAUUGCGAGGGAAUCUCCUUUGAAGAUGAUUGACUGCCAUCCCUUUUCGACUCCUAUUUUAACUGCUUUCCAACAGGCUAUUCUUCAGUAGCAAAUGCAGAAGUUAUGCCAUUAUGGAUCUUUGAGCAGGAUAAAAGAACUUUUCCUUCUGCAUCUCUAACCACAAUACCUGAAGUCGAAUGAUUUUGACUCCCGUUGUAUGCACUAUCGAAGUUAAUCUUGAUGAACUCAUAAGCCCAAAGUGCACAGCAGAAAAGGCGACAUUGACAAGGGGUGAACUGCUCAAACACCCAGGUAAGCCACUGUACAAAGUCCAUGUUUUGAAUCAUUAAAAUAUUCUGAAGUGAUAAUGCUAUCCAUACUUCCACUGUAAUAGGACAUUCUCGGAAUAAAUGGUUCAUUGUUUCAGCUCUUUCUCCACAUCAAGGGCAGCUUGUGUUGGUUGCUAACUUCAUGUACUGUAUAUUUACCUUUGUUGGCAAAUAAUUCCAUGAGAGUCUCCUUAUUGUAAUCUAGGCUCUAAAAUUUUUUGUAAAAUUUCCUGUAGAUGGUUUGUAAAGCGUAAGUUCUAGGAUUUUCAUCAGAACUCUGUAAUAGUUUAUAGGCACUUCGGACCAAAAAUUCACCUAAUGAUUCUUCCCCUAGAUGAGGAAGUCUUCGUGAGGUGUUCGUGCCAAGGGGAUCCGAAGGAUUCGUCCAGCGUCUUCUUCUGUGAAGGUUUUAUUACUGUACAUUCUUAGAGACUAUGCCCAAUUCUUCCACAACCAAAACGAAAUUUCAGUAAUUUUUCAUACUUGAAAGGAAUCCAAGAUCAAUUUUGAUUA